UCAUGCCCCUUACUGACCUGGGCGUACUACACGUGCUACAAUGGUUGGUACAACGAGUUGCGAGUCGGUGACGGCGAGCUAAUCUCUUAAAGCCAAUCUCAGUUCGGAUUGUAGGCUGCAACUCGCCUACAUGAAGUCGGAAUCGCUAGUAAUCGCGGAUCAGCACGCCGCGGUGAAUACGUUCCCGGGCCUU
rnacentral:rRNA from 1 species